rnacentral:rRNA from 1 species
UCCAGACUCCUACGGGAGGCAGCAGUGGGGGAUAUUGCACAAUGGGGGAAACCCUGAUGCAGCGACGCCGCGUGGGCGAAGAAGUAUUUCGGUAUGUAAAGCCCUCUCAGCAGGGAAGAAGAAAUGACGGUACCUGAGUAAGAAGCCCCGGCUAACUACGUGCCAGCAGCCGCGGUAAUACGCAGGGGGCAAGCGUUAUCCGGAUUUACUGGGUGUAAAGGGGGCGCAGACGGCGAUGCAAGCCAGGAGUGAAAGCCCGGGGCCCAACCCCGGGACUGCUCUUGGAACUGCGUGGCUGGAGUGCAGGAGGGGCAGGCGGAAUUCCUAGUGUAGCGGUGAAAUGCGUAGAUAUUAGGAGGAACACCAGUGGCGAAGGCGGCCUGCUGGACGACAACUGACGGUGAGGCGCGAAAGCGUGGGGAGCAAACAGGAUUAGAUACCCCGGUAAAC